rnacentral:rRNA from 1 species
UACGUAGGGGGCUAGCGUUGUCCGGAUUUAUUGGGCGUAAAGAGCGUGUAGGCGGCCAGGUAGGUCUGCUGUGAAAACUUGAGGCUCAACCUCGAGACGUCGGCGGAAACCAUCUGGCUAGAGUCCGGAAGAGGAGAGUGGAAUUCCUGGUGUAGCGGUGAAAUGCGCAGAUAUCAGGAAGAACACCCGUGGCGAAGGCGGCUCUCUGGGACGGUACUGACGCUGAGGUGCGAAAGCGUGGGGAGCAAACAGG